rnacentral:rRNA from 1 species
AUUGAACGCUGGCGGCAUGCCUUACACAUGCAAGUCGAACGGCAGCACGGGGGCAACCCUGGUGGCGAGUGGCGAACGGGUGAGUAACGCAUCGGAAUGUACCCAGUAGUGGGGGAUAACUAGUCGAAAGAUUAGCUAAUACCGCAUACGCACUGAGGUGGAAAGCGGGGGAUCGCAAGACCUCGCGCUAUUGGAGCAGCCGAUGUCCGAUUAGGUAGUUGGUGGGGUAAAGGCCUACCAAGCCUGCGAUCGGUAACUGGUCUGAGAGGACGACCAGUCACACUGGGACUGAGACACGGCCCAGACUCCUACGGGAGGCAGCAGUGGGGAAUUUUGGACAAUGGGCGCAAGCCUGAUCCAGCAAUGCCGCGUGUGUGAAGAAGGCCUCGGUUGUAAG